CCUACGGGGGGCAGCAGUGGGGAAUAUUGGACAAUGGGGGAAACCCUGAUCCAGCAAUGCCGCGUGUGUGAAGAAGGCCUGCGGGUUGUAAAGCACUUUCGGUUGGGAAGAAAAGUUUGGCGCCAAUACCGCCGAACCUUGACGUUACUGACAGAAGAAGCACCGGCUAACUCUGUGCCAGCAGCCGCGGUAAUACAGAGGGUGCAAGCGUUAAUAGGAAUUGCUGGGGGGAUCACGUGAGUCGGGUGUCAAAUCCCAGGGCUUAACCUGGGAACUGCAUUCGAUACUACAUGGCUAGAGUAUGGUAGAGGGAAGUGGAAUUUCCGGUGUAGCGGUGAAAUGCGUAGAUAUCGGAAGGAACACCAAUGGCGAAGGCAGCUUCCUGGACUAAUACUGACACUGAGGCACGAAAGCGUGGGUAGCAAACAGGAUUAGAUACCCGAGUAGUC
rnacentral:rRNA from 1 species